UGGGGAAUUUUGGACAAUGGGCGAAAGCCUGAUCCAGCAAUGCCGCGUGUGUGAAGAAGGCCUUCGGGUUGUAAAGCACUUUUGUCCGGAAAGAAAUCCUUGGCUCUAAUACAGUCGGGGGAUGACGGUACCGGAAGAAUAAGCACCGGCUAACUACGUGCCAGCAGCCGCGGUAAUACGUAGGGUGCAAGCGUUAAUCGGAAUUACUGGGCGUAAAGCGUGCGCAGGCGGUUUGCUAAGACCGAUGUGAAAUCCCCGGGCUCAACCUGGGAACUGCAUUGGUGACUGGCAGGCUAGAGUAUGGCAGAGGGGGGUAGAAUUCCAUGUGUAGCAGUGAAAUGCGUAGAGAUGUGGAGGAAUACCGAUGGCGAAGGCAGCCCCCUGGGCCAAUACUGACGCUCAUGCACGAAAGCGUGGGGAGCAAACAGGAUUAGAUACCCUGGUAGUCCACGCCCUAAACGAUGUCAACUAGUUGUUGGGGAUUCAUUUCCUUAGUAACGUAGCUAACGCGUGAAGUUGACCGCCUGGGGAGUACGGUCGCAAGAUUAAAACUUAAAUGAAUUGAC
rnacentral:rRNA from 1 species